AGGACGAACGCUGGCGGCGUGCUUAACACAUGCAAGUCGAGCGGUAAGGCCUUUCGGGGUACACGAGCGGCGAACGGGUGAGUAACACGUGGGUGAUCUGCCCUGCACUUCGGGAUAAGCCUGGGAAACUGGGUCUAAUACCGGAUAUGACUUCAGGUUGCAUGACUUGGGGUGGAAAGAUUUAUCGGUGCAGGAUGGGCCCGCGGCCUAUCAGCUUGUUGGUGGGGUAAUGGCCUACCAAGGCGACGACGGGUAGCCGACCUGAGAGGGUGACCGGCCACACUGGGACUGAGACACGGCCCAGACUCCUACGGGAGGCAGCAGUGGGGAAUAUUGCACAAUGGGCGAAAGCCUGAUGCAGCGACGCCGCGUGAGGAUGACGGCCUUCGGGUUGUAAACCUCUUUCAGCAGGACGAAGCGACAAGUGACGGUACCUGCAGAAGAAGCAACCGGCUAACGUACGUGCCAGCAGCCGAC
rnacentral:rRNA from 1 species